AUAACCACUUUAAUUUUGGACGCC
rnacentral:siRNA from 1 species